ACGAACGCUGGCGGCGCGCCUCACACAUGCCAGUCGAACGGAGCUGAGAGAAGCUUGCUUUUCUUAGCUUAGUGGCGAACGGGUGAGUAACGCGUGAGUAACCUGCCCUGGAGUGGGGGACAACAGUUGGAAACGACUGCUAAUACCGCAUAAGCCCACGAUCCGGCAUCGGAUUGAGGGAAAAGGAUUUAUUCGCUUCAGGAUGGACUCGCGUCCAAUUAGCUAGUUGGUGAGGUAACGGCCCACCAAGGCGACGAUUGGUAGCCGGACUGAGAGGUUGAACGGCCACAUUGGGACUGAGACACGGCCCAGACUCCUACGGGAGGCAGCAGUGGGGGAUAUUGCACAAUGGGGGAAACCCUGAUGCAGCGACGCCGCGUGGAGGAAGAAGGUUUUCGGAUUGUAAACUCCUGUCGUUAGGGACGAUAAUGACGGUACCUAACAAGAAAGCACCGGCUAACUACGUG
rnacentral:rRNA from 1 species